GCUUUCGUGGUGUAGUGGUCAACACACUCGGCGCGUAUUCGAAAGAUCUGUGGUUCGAGUCCUGGCGAGGGCA
rnacentral:tRNA from 1 species